rnacentral:rRNA from 1 species
AUGGCCGCCACUUCCCUGGCCGCUCUCAUCGCCGGCGCCGCCACCGUGCAGCAAAUACGGCAGCACCACGCCAAACUCCUCACUUCUGGCCGCCUCCCCUCCCUCGGUCCUAUCCUCCUCCGCCGCCUCAUUUCCCUGCCCUCUCCCCACCUCCACCUCGCGCAGCGCCUCCUCCUGUCCCUCCCCUCUCCGCCCCUCGCGCUCUUCAACCUCCUCCUUCCCCCACUCGCCUCCUCACCCGAUCCCGCCGCAGCGGCCCGCCUCUUCGUCCGCCUCCGCCGCAGCGGCCUACGCCCUGACGCGCACACGCUCCCGCACGUUCUCAAGGCCCUCGCGCGCCUCGCACCGGGAUCCCUUCCCCUCGCCGCCUCCACCCACGCGGAGGCCGUCAAGGACGGCUUAGACUGCGCCGUGGUCUACGUACGGAACGCCCUAAUGGUCGCCUACUCGGCCUGUGACCAACCGGCGCGCGCCAUGCAGGUGUUCGACGAAAUGCCGCGACGGACCGUGGUGUCCUGGAACACGGCGCUCACUGCCUGCUUGGACAACGACUGCCACGACCGGUGCGUUGGCCUGUUCACUGCGAUGGUGGAAGCCGGGUUCGAGCCCGACCAGACCACGCUCGUGUGCAUGAUGUCCGCCGCCGCUGAGCUUGGCAACUUGCCGCUCUGCAAGUGGGCGCAUGGGCAGGUCGUCGCCCGGCGGCUGGACAUGACGCUUCAGCUUGGCACGGCGGCAGUGAACAUGUAUGCGAAGUGUGGCUUGGUGAGUUAUGCCUGGCGCUUGUUUGAGAGGAUGCCGGCGCGGAAUGUCUGGACCUGGAGCGCAAUGAUCCAGGGGUUUGCACAGAAUGGAUUAGCCCGGGAAGCGCUCAGGCUGUUCGAAAGGAUGAAGGGUGCAUCAGUUGCGCCCAAUUAUGUCACAUUCCUCGGGCUGCUCUGCGCAUGUAGCCAUGCUGGGCUGGUCGACGAGGGACGUCAGUUUUUCCAUGAAAUGCGGCAUGUAUACAAGAUCGAGCCAAUGAUGAGACACUACAGCGCCAUGGUCGAUGUCCUAGGGCGUAACGGUCGCCUCCAGGAAGCCUAUGACUUUGUAAUGGAUAUGCCUCUCGAGGCUGACCCAGUUGUAUGGAGGACAUUGUUGGGCGCCUGCCAGAUGCACAGCUCCAAGGACUGCAUUCACAUUGUCAGCAAGGUGCAGGAGAGAUUGCUUGAGCUGGAGCCCAGGAGAAGCGGAAACUAUGUGAUGGUCGCGAACAUCUACUCCGACAUUGGAUCCUGGGACGAGGCAGCGAAGGCGAGGAGGGUGAUGAGGGAAGGCGGGAUGAAGAAGAUGGCAGGUGAGAGCUGCAUCGAGGUCGGGGGGCUGGUGCAUCGCUUCAUCUCUGGGGAUAAUUCUUGCCCAGAAUAUGAUCGGGCUUGUAGCAUUGUCCAUGAAUUGAAUCUCAACAUGAGAAAAUGUGAACUUAUUGACCGGAUUUUGCUUAUUGAUGCUGAAUGA